UGUCCUCUGUAGGAGGGAGAGUCUCUCUGGUUCCUCUGUAGGAGGGAGAGGUCUCUCUGGUUCCUCUGUAGGAGGGAGAGUCUCUCCUGUGGACAGAAACUCUGCUGACUGAAGAUCAGCUGCUGAAAUCAAACAUCACACACACUCUGCACUGUGAAGCAGAUCUGUCUCAGACUCAAACACUCAGUUAUUUUUCCUUCUACAUGAUUCAUUGAUUAGUCUCAGUUGACUCUGCUGUUGUUACUGUCAGGAUCCAAUGAGCAGCAUGCAGCUCUAUUCAUGUUUCAAUCUAAUAACAUCUGUCCAGCUGUGGAAGCCCACAGUGUUUUUGUGCUUCUCACAUGGAUUUGAUCUGAUCAUCAAUAAAAACUAUUCAUGGUGUUA